UACAGAGGGGGCAAGCGUUAUUCGGAAUUAUUGGGCGUAAAGGGCGCGUAGGCGGCCUGCUAAGUCGAACGUGAAAUCCCCGGGCUCAACCCGGGAACUGCGUCCGAUACUGGCAGGCUUGAAUCCGGGAGAGGGAUGUGGAAUUCCAGGUGUAGCGGUGAAAUGCGUAGAUAUCUGGAGGAACACCGGUGGCGAAGGCGGCAUCCUGGACCGGUAUUGACGCUGAUGCGCGAAAGCCAGGGGAGCAAACGGG
rnacentral:rRNA from 1 species